rnacentral:rRNA from 1 species
AUUGAACGCUGGCGGCAGGCCUAACACAUGCAAGUCGAGCGAGCGGCGGACGGGUGAGUAAUGUCUGGGAAAAUGCCUGAAGGAGGGGGAUAACUACUGGAAACGGUAGCUAAUACCGCAUAACAUCAGAUGUGACCAGAUGGGAUUAGCUAGUAGGUGGGGUAACGGCUCACCUAGGCGACGAUCCCUAGCUGGUCUGAGAGGAUGACCAGCCACAUUGGAACUGAGACACGGUCCAGACUCCUACGGGAGGCAGCAGUGGGGAAUAUUGCACAAUGGGCGCAAGCCUGAUGCAGCCAUGCCGCGUGUGUGAAGAAGGCCUUCGGGUUGUAAAGCACUUUCAGCGGGGAGGCGUUACCAACAGAAUAAGCACCGGCUAACUUCGUGCCAGCAGCCGCGGUAAUAC